UAGAUUUUGACAUUAACAUCUACACAUACAAAUGCGAUUUUGAUGUCCCUGAGGAUUUUGGUGAAAUCGGAGCUAUUCUUGUGGAAAAUGAAUACAGCAAGAAGAUGUUCUUCAAGAAGAUUGUUCUUAACAACAAUAUCACGUUUACCUGUGAAUCUUGGGUUGCUUCAAAGGAUGAUAACCCCGAGAAGAGAAUCUUCUUCACUGACAAGGUUAAUCUCACACUAAUUUACCUUCUUUAACUGUUUAGUAGCCAUUUUUCUGAUUAGUCAGCUUGUAAUUCUAGUCUUAUCUUCCAUCGGAAACGCUAGAAAGCCUAAAGUCGUUGAGAGAGAAAGAUAUGAAAUCUCUUCAUGGGAAUGGACAAGGAGAGCGUAAAUCUUCUGAUAGAAUUUACGAUUAUGAUGUUUACGACGACCUUGGAGCACCGGAUCUGAGCUUAAGUUUAGCUCGGCCGGUGCUCGGCGUCAACGAUCAUCCUUAUCCUAGGCCGUGUCAUACUGGUCGGCCAAUGUCUACAAAAGGUACAUCACAUUAACUCUUUUCAGAACUGCUUGGAUUCCUGUAAAUUACAUAUAAGAAUAGGGCUUGGAAUAUGAAUAAAUACGAAAAGUAAUAUGUAUUUACAGAUCCAUUAUCGGAGACGAGAACUUUGCUCCCGUUUUAUGUGCCUAGCGAUGAAGAUUUCUCAGAGAUAAAGGAGGUUAAUUUUGGAGCAAGGGCAUUGUACUCUGUACUCCAUGCAGUUGUACCCACUUUAGACGCUACUAUUACAGACAAAGACAAAGGGUUUCCUUUAUUCAGGACCAUAUAUAUGCUCUACGAUCAAGGUGUUAAUGUUCCUCCUCCUGACAAUGGACUUAAAACUGUUUUGCCUAGACUUGUCAAAGGCGCUGUUGAUACCGCAGACGCCGUGAUCCAAUUCGAGACCCCUGAAACUAUCGAUCGUAAGCUUUGAUCUUUUUAACUCGUUUUUUAUUUUAGUUUUUGGGUUUUGUAUAUUGAUUGAUGUUCUAAUCGUAGGUGACACGUUCUCGUGGUUUCGUGAUGAGGAAUUUUGUCGACAAAUGCUUGCGGGUCUCAAUCCAUAUAGCAUACAGUUGGUGACGGAGUGGCCAUUGAUGAGUAAACUGGACCCUCGAGUUUAUGGGCCACAGGAAUCAGCAAUCACCAAGGAGAUUGUCGAGCAAGAAAUCAAAGGUUUCAUGACUCUUGAGUAGGUAAUAUUCAAAACAGAAGAUGGAAACUUAAUGUCUUUUUAGUGAAAAUUAUUCAUGACAAUCAUUUUUUUGUAGGCUUUGGCUGAAAAGAAACUGUUCAUGUUGGAUUACAAUGAUCUACUACUUCCAUACGUCAACAAAACAAGAGAGCUUAAUGGGACAACUCUUUAUGGUUCAAGAACUUCAAUGUUUCUUACUCCCACCGGAACUUUGAGGCCACUAGCCAUUGUGACCCGACCACCAUCCGACGACAAGCCACAGUGGAAGCAUGUGUACACUCCCGCCUGGGAUGCCACCGGAGCUUGGCUAUGGAAGAUGGCCAAGGCUCAAGUCCUCUCUCAUGAUUCUGCUUAUCACCAACUUGUCAGCCAUUGGUGGGUAAUCUUUUUUCCAAUGUUAUUUCUUUACAUGUACAUGUUUAUGUGUUUUUCAAUCGAAGUAGUGGAAUUAAUGAUUUGAUUUGGGAUGGUUUUUUGUUAUUGUAGGCUAAGAACUCAUUGUGUGAUGGAGCCUUACGUAAUUGCUACCAACCGUCAUCUUAGCCAAAUGCAUCCAAUCCGGAGACUACUUCUACCUCAUUUCCGAUACACCAUGCAAAUCAAUGCUUUAGCUCGUCUUGCUCUCAUUAACGCUGGUGGUAUCAUAGAGUCAACAUUCUCUCCCGGGAAAUAUUCCAUGCAAAUUUGCUCCGACGCAUAUGAUCAACUAUGGCGUUUUGAUCACGAGUCGCUUCCAGCUGACCUAAUUAGCAGGUAUAUAUAUACUCUUUAUGCAUGCAUGCAGUUUUUUUUAUGUUAACGUAAAAUAAUCAACACUUUUGCAUGACGUAAUAUCUCUGGUUACAUUAUAUAUAUUUUAGGGGAAUUGCAGUUCAAGAUCCAAAUUCACCGCAUGGUGUAAAACUAACGAUCGAGGACUACCCAUAUUCAAAUGACGGUUUACUCCUUUGGGAUGCAAUCAAACAAUGGGCUACGUCUUACCUCAACCACUACUACCCAAAAACGAAUCUUGUUGAAUCUGAUGUAGAGCUUACACAAUGGUGGGAUGAAAUCCGAGCAGUUGGACACGGAGACAAGAAAAACGAACCACGGUGGCCACAACUCAAAACCCAAGAAGAUUUGAUCGGAAUCGUUUCAACGAUCAUGUGGGUGGGCUCCGGACACCAUUCAGCUGUCAACUUUGGACAAUAUGAUUUCGCCGGUUACUUCCCGAACAGGCCAACGAUUGCCAGAACCAAGAUGCCUAACGAAGACCCAACAGAAGAAGGGUGGCAGUCGUUCAUAAAGAGACCUGAAGAUGUUUUGUUGAAAUGUUUCCCUUCCCAAAUCCAAGCUACCACAGUCAUGUCUGUUCUUGAUGUUUUAUCAAGUCAUUCACCGGACGAGGAGUAUAUCGGUGGAUAUAUAGAGCCGGCAUGGGUGGCGGAGCCGGCUAUUAAGGCGGCGUUUGAGGAGUUUCGGGGAAGUUUGGAAAAGUUAGAAGGCAUCAUAGACUCGAGGAACGUCGAUCCCAAAUUGCACAACCGAAGUGGUGCAGGGUUGGUUCUGUACCAGCUCUUCAAGCCAUUUUCCGGUCUAGGUGUGACCGGAAGAGGUGUUCCGAACAGCAUCUCCAUCUAGUUCCGUACGUCGUCUUCCAGAAUAAAGGUUUACGAGAUCUAUGGUCCGAUGGAUCUUUAUGAUAAUAAGGUUAUAAUCCAUAGUUUUUGUUUGUUAAUUUUAUUGCGAUUUCAAAUAAAUUCAUGUUGUGGAACUUGUUUGUUAUCACCAGCCUAGAGAAGUGAGCCUAGAACAGAUCAAGUAGGCUGAGUUAUUUAAUGCUAUCUUCUAAUAUUAAGAAGAUAUGGCACUAGCUAGUUACACUAAUUGUUGGGAUUGUAAAAUCUAAUUAAAAGAAGCUUUGUUCUACGAAUAAAAGUUAAUUUUUUUUUUGUUUAUUAUCCCGAAAUAUUGAUAUACUUUCGGAAAAAUAUCUAAUUAUCUUCAAAAAUAAUUUUUGCGGACUAUGAUUAAUACUAUGCUUCAUAGAGUUUUAAUGUUGUUUAUUUUGUUAAUUGUGUUGUACACAAGUUAUAAUCUAAUAUAUUAUUAAAAAAUAACUAAUUUAAAUUUUCUUAUCUCGGUUACGAAACAAAUGAAUUUUCGGUGAUAAAUAGUGCAAAUGGGUUAUUGGGUGUUUAUCUAUUGAGAGAGCUUCGGUGUUUGUAAUACCUCACCUACAAAAGAAUUCAAUUUAAAAAAGAGGCAUUAGGAAAGGAGAUCUAUCCCUUCUUUUCUUUUCAUUAUUGCAAUGGUAGCAUUAAAUGUUUGUAUAAAGACAUGUUGGGGUCAGAAAUGGCCCAGUCUCCACGAUGCGUAGGGAAGGUUUCCUGGUCACGGUGUAAUGUUGUAGGCACUAAAGGGUUGAAUAUGUUAUAUGUACAAAUGUAGCGCCUUUCCUAACAACAAUUGGUUUUGGGAGAGUUGGUAGCGCCUGAGGUCCAGUAAAACCAUAUCACAUCUCAUGUAUGCCGAUGAUGUAACUUUUAUUAGUGAAUGUUGUCCUUUGAACCUCAACAAACUUCCUUGUUAUUUUCAUGUUGCCAGCUCCAAAUCGUGAUUGGAGUAGUUUUUUUCAUGCACUUUCAGCUGUCGAGAUGCAUAUUUUUUCUUUGGGUCGAAACACAACCCAACCCAACACCAGACUCAUCGCUAUAAAUAGCGAAGUCUUCAACUCCAUCGGGUAGAGAAAGAAUCGGUGUUCCACAUAGCUUCUUCUUUAGCAACUCGAAUGCUUCUUGGUGCUUAUUGCUCCAAGCAUAAGUAGCUCAUUUGUGGGUCAAAGCUGUUAGUGGAGUAGCGAUCGAAGAAAAGCCUUAGAUAAACCUUCGGUAAUAUCCGGCUAAUCCUAAAAAGCUUCGGAUCUCCGUGGGACUUUUCGGCUGUUCCCACUUCAUCAAAGCUUCAAUCUUUGCUGGAUCAACCAUUAUCCCUUCUUGGUUGACCAUGUGACCCAAGAAUUGGACUUCUGUAACGCCCGUAGAUCAGGGCUAGUCAAUUUAAAGACGAUAAGCGUCAAAAAAUGAGUUUCUGAUAGAAGAUUAUUUAGAAUGAAUAAUCUUAACUAGGUUAUAGUAUAUGUUACAAGGAUUCCGUACAUAUAAAGAACGUCGAAAUCCGAAUUAUAACGAAGAAGUUAUGACAUGUCGAAGUUUCGCGACAGAACCGGCACGACGUUGAAUGACGUAAAAAGUGAAUUUAUGUUAGAGCGAUAUUUAGCCUUAGUGAUCUAAACGAAAGUUGUAGAGUUCGUUAAACCAUGAGCGUGCAUAAAAAAAACGUCCAAAUCUGACUUCGUAUGAGGAAGUUAUGAUUUUUCUAAGUUUCAGCUUAGCAGUGUGCAGCCCGAAUACUCGAUUUGAGAUCGAGCGGUUUUUAGCCAAAACAAUCUAAACGAGAAUCGAAGAUCUCGUCAAUUGUAGUGAAACGAUAAAAAGAUAGGCGAAAACGGACGUCGGAUGAAGAAGCUAUGAAUUUAUAACGGAGUUUUCCAGUCCCGGCCUACUAAAAAUAAUAUAAUAAAAAUAAAGUCAAAAUUAGCCAACGGAGUCUAAACGAAAGUUGUAGAGCGUAGUCUCACCUACGCGUGGAUAUAAAGAACGUCGAAAACGGAGCUCGUAUGCGAAAGUUACGCAAUUUAGAAGUUCGACGAGUCAAAUUACGCCCAGCGUAAUUUGAGUACGCCCAGCGUACUCAGACGGGUGCAAGUUGCCUGACCAAUACUCGAGUACCACCAAUUGACGCAUGCAGUGACGUCAAAGUACGCCCCGCGUAACCGAGUACGCCCUGCGUAAUUUGAGAUUACGCCCCGCGUAAUCCCAGACCCUCAGCCUAUAAAUAGAACUCGAAAUCAGCCAUUUUCUCUUGUUCAAACUCUUUCUUCUCUCUAGUUUUUGCCUCGUUUUGCGUGCCGUUUAUACCCCGAAGCCCCGGUAAUAUUUCCGAGCCCCGAAGCAAGAUCCGAAGCCCCGAGGAUCCCGAAGAGCGUUAUUCCCGAGCCGAAGCGCUGCCCGCGAGGAGCCGGUUUUUGUGAAGAUCUUCCAGAUCUACGGAGAAACACUACUUCUGCAAGCCGUAGUGCUGCCCGAUCAUCUUCUGAUCAAGUGAGUGUAUAGUCACUUUCAUCUUACACAUAAAUAUGAAGUAUUUUAUAAAAUACGUGCUAUGUGUUAUAUAUUAAUUAUCUAUUUGAGAUGGAUUUGGAAUUGAUGUUUUUAUACGGGUGUUAAAUGAUUUAAAUUGUGUUUGUAUUUAUAUCUACAAAAAUGUUGGGUAGAACAUGGGUAGAUGGAAUAGUUGGUGACGAUGCGACUUCGUGCCUAUUGAGUAAGCCUUGGUGACGAUGCGACUUCGUGCCUAUUUGAUAAACCUUGGUGACGAUGUGACUUCGUGCCUUUUGUGUAAACCCAGGUGACUAUGAGACGUAGUGCCUAUUGUGUAAACCCUGGUGACUAUGAGACGUAGUGCCAAUUGUAUGAACCCUGGUGACUAUGCGACGUAGUGCCUGUUGUAUAAACCGUGGUAGCAAAUGGACUGUGUGCCAGUUCCUUAGGUAAACCCUUAGGAAUGAAUGAAGAAAGUAUAAUCGAUUCUUAGGGUAAAACCUUAAUAAAUAAAGAAGAUAAUGGGGAUGGGUAUUUGGGUUGAUUGUUGAUAAUUGAAUAUAAUAAAUGUAUUAUUGUGGGUUGAAAACCCUAUAUGCUCACCAGGCUCCCAAGCCUGACCCACUCAGUUUUCUUUGUAUCACAGGUAUCAAUACGAAGACAUAUUUCACUGAGAGAAUAAAGGAGAUGUAAAUCAUUAGUGUAAAUAAAUGUAAGUUCUGUUUAUGCUUAUGUGUCUGUAUCGGAACAUGACAUCCCGAGAUUUUGUUAUAUAAUGAAAAUACUUUUCUUUAAGAAAUGCUUUGAUAAAUUCUUAUCAUAUUUUUUUAUUUUGGGGACAAAUUCCGCAACAAUUUUCUUUAAACGAUUACUCUGAUUUAAAAAAAACAAAGCAUAAACAAAUCAGUAUUUUCUGGCCAUGAAAUUGGGGAUGUCACAACUUCUCGAAUCCAAAAAUCACAUUUGGAGAACUUUCCAUACAACUUCUCCUUCUUCAAGACUUCCAACACUUCUUGCAAGUGUUGGCCAUGCUCCUCUUGGCUUUUCGAGUAAAUCAGAAUGUCAUCUAUGAACAUUAUCACAGAUUUAUCAAGGAACGGUUUACAAACCCUGUUCAUUAAAUCUAUGAACGCUGCUGGAGCAUUGGUUAGUCCAAACGACAUAACCAAAAACUAGUAGUGUCCAUAUCUUGUUCUGAAUGCAGUCUUUUCGAUAUCCUGCUCUCUCACCUUCAGCUGAUGAUAUCCUGACCUUAGGUCGAUCUUUGAAAAAUAAUUUGAACCUUGUAGUUGAUCGAACAGGUCGUCAAUCCUUGGCAAUGGAUAUCUAUUCUUUAUUGUUUCCUUGUUCGGCUCUCUGUAAUCGAUGCACAUUCUCAUACUUCCAUCUUUCUUCUUCACGAAUAACAUCGGAGCUCCCUAGGGUGAUGAACUAGGUCUAAUGAAACCUUUGUCCAAUAACUCCUGUAGUUGCAUCAUCAGCUCCUUCAUCUCCGUUGGUGCUAAUCGGUACGGUGCUUUUGUUAUUGGCGUGCUCCCUGGUAACAAGUCUAUUUUGAACUCCAUUUGUCUAUCGAGCGGUAAUCCGAGAAAUACUUCCAGAUAAUCACACACCACAGGAAUGCUCUGCAUCUCCUUUUUCUCCUUCUUAGCAUCGAUCACGAAUGCCAAACACUACUAGAAAAAAGGCCUUUUACGACGCGCAAACCACGACACCCCUUGAUUUAUGUUACGUAAAAGCGUGUGACAUUAAAAAAGUGUCAUCUCUUCAAAAAAUUUAAGGAUUUAUGUCACGCAUUAUUGCGUGCCCUUAAAUUAGUGUCUAAAUAAAAAAAAGAAAAAAACACGGAGGGCACCUAUAGUAAAAUGUGUAUCAUCUAAGGAUGUCGCUUUAUAAGUUUUAAUGGAACGCGCGUUUUCCGACCUUUAAUAGCUAAGCGGGAACAAAGUCCCAAAAAAUUAGAAAACCCCGCUUUGUUCUCAUCUUCCUUCGUUUCUACUUUUCUCUUUUCCAUGGUUUGGCUUAACGAAGCUCUGUGAAUUCCAUGAGUUAGCGCUAUGAAGUCUGGAAUGCAAAGCUGGAUUCUCAAUUGUUUCUGAUUUCCCAUAGAUAAAUCAAAACAACACACAACGAAGAACCCUAACGUGCGUCUUUCUUCUUAGUAGGUAACGGGAGGUCUUUUAUUUUCUCCUAAAAUUUUGAUUCUCUCAUUUUUCUAUCGACUUAGUACGUGCUAGGGUUUUUGGUGGUGAUCGACGGGUACGAGACAUAAUAGAACAACUGAAGAGGCUAUUACAAAGGGUUGAAAUCGUAUGGAAUGGAGAUGAUAGAGUUUAGCUUUCACCUUCGUCAAAUCUUAAGGCGAAAUAAGACUAUUGAGAUUGAGGCUUUUUUGCUCCCAAAAAUAGACCUUAUAAAAUCAUUAUGAUUGAGGGCUCUAUGAUGCAGAACUAGGGAUUCUAAGCCCAACAAGGUUUCCUCCUCUCCUUGAAUUCACGUUUUCAAAACCUAAAAGGCAAUUUAGGUUUCUAUCUCCUAUUUUAGAUUUAUCUUAUUAAAUCUUCUUACUCCUUCACCCAGCUUGGCUACGAAUUCCCGGUAUGGCAACACAACCCUGCGACUUGGUUACUCUCGAGCCUACAACAGUUGUUUAAACCCUCAAGAAUCUCACCACAAGGUUUCAUGACUACAAAGUGGUUGAUUUCGUGAACUUGUUACCCACUACCAAUGAUGGAACCAUCAGACAUUUAUAUAUACAGGUGAGUAAUCAAAUCUUAGUAUAGUCAUCAGUAAAUACCUUUUUUUUCUGAAUUACGCUGUUUGUAAAUCUUUUGAAUCUUCUAAACACAAUAGAUGUUUUAUUUCUCUACGCUCCUACAACUUGGGCUACUACUUGUUAAUUUUGGUUGCUUUGUUACUAUAUAAGACAACAACCUGGUAGUCUUUGAAUAAUUAAUCACCGCCUGUUUAGGGAUACUUUGUGGUGAACACCAACUAUUUGAUAAAAUGCCCCAAUGAGUGACUCUUGUGUUUUAAUACUAUCUUAUAUAUUUUGAGCAAGGAACUACACAUGUUUUUAUUAAAUCUGAAGUGUAAUGUACAAUAGCAAUAACAUUGAGGUAGAUUUCAUGUACUGUUCUUUUAUGUGUUAUUGUGAGACAUGAAUUAACCUCUGAAGAAUCACCUGUUCAGAUGUGAUCAUUGACAAUGCGGAUAAAACGUUUUAUGGUUAAAAAGGGAAAUCUAUUCUAGUCGUUCUCUCUAACAAGGCAACCUUAAAGUUGAUGUAGGUAAGAUUUUGACCUAUCUAUGUUAUAGUUUGCAGGAUGAAACGUUUCAGAAGUUCAAUUUUGACCUAUCUAUGUUACAGUUUACUGUUUUUGUAGUAGUCUUUCUUGUUUUAUCUAAACUGCUACUCGGGCUUACCUUCUCAGCUACAUCCCCUGCAUUUUUGUGGUCAAAAAGCUGAUCCAUCUUCUUAACCAGUACCAUGUAAGUACAAUUCAACUAAGGUUUGGGUGCAAAAUACUAUAAAAACCUUUUUAUGUGUGAACAGCUCAAUUGAAGGUUUGAAAGCUUUAUUCAUAUUUAUUUUCUCAAUUUACAGCUGGUGGUGGAACUAUGCUCAUACCUUACCUUUGAUUAAGUUAAUCAUGGAAUGGAAUGCAAAAUUGCAAAAAUACUACAUUUCUAUCUGUGUAAUUUUUAAUGACAUUUUUUUUAAAUAAAAGUAAUAAAAAUAUCAUAGUUAUGAUGAUUUACUUGGAUUUUAAACAACUUUUAUGUUCAGUUUCUUAUUUUAUAAAAAAUAAAUUCGUUAAAUAUAACUAAAAUAAUAUAUGGAUUAGCAUUCAAGUUAUAUGCCUGAUUGGUGAGGAUUCAUGGUAUCUACAAGAGCCACUAUACAUAAAAUGGAUAAAAUGGGAUUGUCUCAGUGGCUGCAGAUUCCAAUGUAUGCUUGUUACGGAAGAAGAAAGAGAGACAGCUGGCGAUACAACUGUCAAAUAUCAUGGAAAAUGGCCACUCAGACGUGCCUUUAGGAUUGAGGUGCAUCAAAUUCUUCUACAUUACAUCAACUCUUUGAUAAUUAUUCAUUCUUGAUUCUUGAAUCUAGAUUUCAGGAAGCUGUGUCUGUGGCACUCUCUUCUCUUAAUAUUGCUGUUGAACUGUCUGAAUCUAAGUAAUGACCACUUUACCCUUCAUUCUUUAUUUAAAAUGCUACCAAUUUGACUAUGGUAAGCGUUCAUUUCCCCUCAUAAUACAAAAAGGAAAAUACCUUUUUAAGCUUUUUGACUUUUUAAACCUUUUAUAUACAGAUUUAAAUAUGAAGGCUUGUGCUAUAAUGGGAGUAGCAAAGGUACUGAUUUGGGGGGUAUGGGCUGGAAUUUCGAAUCAUCCAUCUGAAUGGAAGAUUUGGGUUGUGAAAAUUGGUGAAGGAUUAAUUAUUUUAUUUCAAAUUUAUGAUUUUCCACCCUACAAGGGUUUUUUUGAUGCCCAUGCUAUUUCACAUGCCAUUGUGGUUCCUGUUUCUUAUAUCUGGUGGAGCUUUAUUCAUGAUGACAGUGAAUAUAGAACCAAAACACUCAUGAAAAAAGCCAAGUGAUAUAUCCAGAAGGGGUAAAUUCUUAAAUUUACACUCAACUUGUAACCUCGUGUCUUUUUUCUUGUUCAUUAGGGAUUUAAGGUAGUCACGCUUAUUCAGUUUUUGCUUGCGUGUUCACAAGUUUUUCUUUUCUUUUUAUAUUAAAAGUUGUGUCGUCUUUUUUUUUUUUAAAUUUUUUUCCCAAGCGGUUGGUUUUUACAGAUUUAGAUGUUGGUGUCUGUACUGCUUAAAUGCAGAGCUUUCUUUUGGCUUUUGUGUUAUGGAGAUUUUGUUGUGUUAUUUCAGUUUUAUCCAAGAGGUGGUAGUCGGGGACGACUAUUAACUUGGCGGAGCUGUUGUGGUGGGAUCUGAUAGGCACACUAGGUAAAACACCACAUUUUCCUUUAUCCACCAGUUCAGUUAGAGGGAUGAUGUACUACAGAAGGGCUUUGAAGCUUCAAGCUUUCUUUGACAUGGCUAAUGAGCAAGGUAAGAAUAAAUAUUUUAGCACCUUAAUUUUGGUUUUAUAAUUAAACAUUAAUUUCGAUUAAAAUUCUGUUUUAUAUAUGUUGGCAAACCUUGCAGAAAUGUUAGAAUGUUAUAAAGCUAUCAGCUUUCCAUCGAAAGAUGAGAAGAAAAGUCAAAGCUCAUUGAAUGCUCAAUUAGAGGCUAUUGCUGUUAGUCCUUCAAAUCAUAAGACUUUUUUUGCGGACAAAAAUGCCCCUGUGUGCCUAAUAUUAGAGCCAAGCUGUUAGGGCGUUUUACUUUAAUUUUUUUACCCAUUAUAGCUAUCAGUAACCUCUUGAAUUAUAAGGCCAUGACGCGAUUUUAUACCAUGUUAUUGUCCAUAGUCCAUACACACUAAAGAAUCUGAGAUUUUUUAGAGAUUGUAUGGAAUUUUUAGAUGGGAGCAUGUUUUUUAUGGGCUUGAACACACUUUGUUUGUAUUAAACAUAUAAAUUUUAUUUAAUUAAAAAAUCCCAACUCCCAAGUUUAAAAAGAUGGUUAAGAUGAGCUUUCAUUUUCAAGUUUUGUUCUUUCAUAUUCACCAAAAAGCGAGCAAGCUUGGAGCCAUAGGUAACAUUUUGGAUGGUAGCUCUUACUUAGCCUCUUCCCUUCUAUUGGGAGAAAAUAACUGAUGUUUUUAUUUAUCUUCUCCAUCUUUCAAUAACGCUUUUUUUAUUUAUGAUAUGAGAUGGGUGAUCAAGAUGAUGUUGUUUCAGAUUUAAUUGUUUAUUGUCUAUCCUGUUCACAAAAAACAUUACAAAUUUUAAUAAAAAAUGCUUAUUUUUUUAUUUAUUCUUUUUUAGCAAUUCCUAUACUUUUAAGAUAUGCUAAAUUAGCUAUAGAGAAAGGGCUUGCACAGGGUCGUGAUGGAUCUUAUAUACAACAACUUUAUAUGAACUAUUUUACAAAGUUGAAGCUUUAUAUAAAACAACUUUAGUUGAAGCUUUACAUAAGGUGAUUAUUAAUUUUUUAUAAUAUAAAUAAAUUAAUUCCAUUUUUACCCUUUUAAGUACUAUAUAUGAACUAUUUUACAAACUUUACUUGAUCUUUUUCAGGAGCAUUACAGCCCAAGAUAAUUAAUUGUGGCGUGACUCUAACUGCCUUUGGGAUGCUAUUGAGGUUUGUAGUAGAAACGAUGGUUGUUAGUUCUCUUAUCAUGACUUUGCGAGGUGACGUCCAUUGUAUUCCAGUUAUUUAGGUAAACAUAAUUGCUGAUUUAUACAUAUACACUCUAGGUACGUAACUACUGAAUCCUUUUCAUAUAAAUUCAUUCAAACUAUCACAACCAUAAUUGAUCAUGUCCUGAAACCCAAAUUUGCUUGAAAUAUUAUUGGUGGCUAAUUCUUUGCAAUGAAGGAGAUAAUUGAUGAAGGAAUUGAAGUGUUGGUCCAUGACAAUGUAAGUAUAGCAUCCUACUCACUGUUAUAUUGUAGGUAAUAUGCAAGAAAUAGCAAUGUGCUUUCAUUUAUUUGAAAGUACAAUGCUCUAGUAUAGCAACCAAAUGUCUCAUUUUCAUUAAUUUGGCUAAAAAACUAUUUUUAUUGCCUAUUAAGUCACUAAAUUAACAUUUUAUGUUAAAUAAGUCACCAUGCUUACAAUUUUUUUUUUACUUCCAUUUUUUUAUAACAUAAUAAAACCUCACUCGCUGAUGUCAUCUUUUCCGAAUUGCAUUUUUUUUAUAUAAUUUUUAUUUGGGUCAGGAGGCUGGUGAUGACAAAGCACUACAAUCUGAAAGAGGCAUCAAGUCACGUGCAAUUCUUGGUAGACAGGUUAAAAGAAUUGUCACAAAGCAGGUUGUUAUAAUGCUUCACAUGUUCAAAAUAGCAAUUUACUUUCUUUAUUUUUUUAUUGUAACAUUAUAUAUUGUAAGAAAUAGAAUUAUAUGACAUUAAAUUUUAUGAAAUGGAUUGUAUUUUUUAUAUGGUAUUUUAUUUCUAUUAUGAGACAGUAAGUGCAAAUUUAAUUUAAAAAUUAAUAAAUAUAUAAAUAUUUUUUUUUUAAACAUUUAAAUUUACGAUACGCAAAAAUGUGUGUCAUCUUCAUUUAUGACAUGGCCUUUCUUGACAGGGGUUUUAAUGAUACGCAUUGUGUGUCAUUAACACGCGCGUCGUAAGGUUACGACACGCGAAUGCAUGUCGUCUUCCUUUAUGACAGGGCCUUCCUUGAUACGCAUUGCGUGUCAUAACCGCGCGUCGUAAAUGCGUGUCGUAAAUGCGUGUCGUCUCUCUUUAUGACAAGGCCUUCCUUGACGCGCAUUUGCGUGUCGUCUAAGCAUUUUACGACGCGCAAGGAGCGUCGUAAAAGGCCUUUUUUCUAGUAGUGAAAUAUGAUGUACAUCCAUUGGCCAAACACUUUCUGGCUUUCAUUAGAGAAAUGAUUCCAGAAUUUACUCUGCGUUUGUCUCCAUACACCAUAAACGACUNCGGGUUUACUUUUACUAUCCUCUUCUUGCAUAAUAUCUUGGCAUCAUUGGCGCUAAGCCAAUCCAUCCCCAACACGAUGUCGAAACCGUUUAGUUCGAUAGGCAAUAAUUACUCGUGGAACUUAUUCCCAUUCAAGUCAAUGAAAAUGUAUUUCAUGUGAUGGCUAACAGGUAUAAACUUGUCAAUAACAACUUCGACUAAUAAAGCAUUAUCUAGUCUAUCGACAGACAAAGCUAGAUUUCUACCAAAUUCAUGCGAAAUAAAGGAUUAGUUGGCUCCAGAAUCAAAUAAAAUUUGGGCAAACAAUUCGUUUACGAGAAAAGUACCUAAAGCGACAUUAGCUUCUUCCUUAGCAGCUCCCAGUGUCACUUGGAAGGCUCUUGCUUUCGGCUUUGGGGGAAUAUUGGCUCUAGCUACCUCCUUCUUUUUAGGACAGUCUUUUAAAAUGUUCCCCUCUUUGAUACAUCCAAAACACAUUGUCUUGUUGGAUGGACACUCGUUGGCAUAAUGCCCCGUGUUUCCACACUUGUAGCAAGUCACUUCCUCACUACAUUUCCCAGAGUGAUUUUUCUUGCAGUUUUCACACCGUUUUCACUUCGCCUCCAAACUUCUUCAAAUUAGAAUUCAAAAUGUUGUUUUUCUUGCUGGAACCCGAAGUUCCUUCAAACUUUCUCUUAUCACCAACUUCAACCUUGCUUGCAGUUCUUCCCUUGAUCAUCUCCUCAACAGACAUGGCAACCCAAAUAGCUGCCUCCAGAGUAGGUUCCUGACAUACUGGCACCGCAUACUCCCAUGGGAGUCCCUUUGCGUAUCGAUCAACUUUCGUCAACUUGUCUAGAACGAUGCACAAAGCAAACUCCACUUUGUCGGUGAAGGCGUUAGUGUAAUCAUCGACUGACAUGCUGCCUUUUGUCAAUGUCAGAAACUUGUUCUCUAACUCCAGUAGAUUUUGGGCCGAGCAGAACUUGCGCUUAAAUUGCACUAAGAACUCUGCCCAAGUUAGUUGCAGUGGCUCAUUAGGUCUUAGGGUCUUCCCCAGAGUGUUCCACCAACAAACACCUCCACCUCUGAACUGACGUACUGCGAAAGUGGUCUGCAACUUGCCUCUGCAACCACACGUCAUGAAGGCUAGCUCCAUUUCUGAGAUCCAAUCCAUAACUCCGAUUGGAUCCUCCUUUCCAGUGAAGGUCGAUGGUUUGCAAGUCAAAAAGUAUUUGUACUUGCAUCCAAGUCCAUCAUUUCCUUCAUCCUGGUUAAUUUGCCUAACAAUCGGUGGGUUGGCUUGACCAAUAGUCCCACUGAAGUUACCUCCUUCCGAAUGCCCUUCAUUCAACUUGGGUUGUUCAAUCGACAUUGAAAGUUCUUCACGAUUCUGCCAAAGCAGACGUCUUAUUUCUUCCAUCUGACGAUCCAACAUUUUUUGAAUCAUCAAUUGUACACCAGCCAUUGUUAUUGGCUCAGGUGUUACUACUACAACAGUCACUCGCUCACUCACAGGUGGUUGAUUCCUGUCUUCAUUCAUGUUUCCAACUCCACUUCUAGUUCUUACCAUUUUGAUCUACACGCCGAAUAAGGUGAAUUUAGAUCCUCAAUCACGAUAGAUAAUUAAAUCAUCCUUAUCACUCUGAAACGUUAAAUGCUAGUUUUAGUACCGUAAUCAUACGCUUAGAAUCCUAAACACAUGAGGUUUCCAGAUCCGGUUGGCAACCAACCAUAGAUCCGAACAAAUAAUAUAAUAUAUGACAAACAUAUAACAUUUAGCACAUAAAAGCAUUUUAGGCAACUUUCCUAAAAUAAACUAGUGCUCGUGUCUAAAAUAUGACAGACACUCAUCUCACAAUCUUCACUUAGCAUUCUACGUUUAAGUCUAGAAAUCCUACAAAUUCCUAGUUCGCUUAAACUAAUGCUCUGAUACCAACUGUGACAUCCCCAAAAUCACGGCCAGAAAAGACCAGUUUCAUUUAUGCUUUUAAAAUAAUUUCAGAGUAAAUCCAUUGAUUUAAAAGAGUUGCGGAAUUUGUCCCCCAAACAAUACAUGAUAAAAUAAGGUUUAUGAAAUCAUUUCUUAAGGAAAUGUAUUUUUCAUUAUAUAUCAAAACUCAGGAUGUCAUGCUCCGAUACAGACACAAAAACAUAAAAUAUUAAACAUAGACCUUACAUAGUAAUAUACAACUAAUUGUAUAUAAACAAAAAAAUCUUCACAAGUUCUCCAACUUAUGCUCUCGCGCCACUACCUGCAAUACAAAGAAACUGAGUGGGUCAGGCUUGGGAGCCUGGUGAGCAUAUAGGGUUUUCACAAUAAAUAAUUAUAUUUAAUUUCACCAAUCAACAAUAACCCGAUUACCCAUCCCCGUUAUCCUCACUUUACGUCCCAAGGACAACAACUAUUACAAGGGACCUAAUCUAGGAUUUUAAUCAGGACGGACACUACUGCAAAGGGGUUUCCUCAGCAAUGAAUGUCCUAAGGCAACUAUUGUAACAGCCCAAAUUUUAAGUCCAAAAAUUUCUUUUUUAAAUUAACUGAUUCAUAAAAACGUUCAUGAGGAAAUACUGUGAAAUUACAUCGUCUCAUAAACCAAUGUAUCAUAUCUGAAAACCCAAGUCACAAAAUAAUAACAUGUCAGAGUACAAUCCCAGAGUAUCUAUAGUGCGGAAAACAAAGAGUAUGUGUAUGAUAUGCCACUACCGCGAAAGCUCCUUCCCCUUCGCUGAAGAGGUACCUGAAACCAAAACUGUAAACUGUAAGCACGAAGCUUAGUGAGUUCCCCCAUCAUACCACAUACCAUACAAUCUCAUAGCAUACAUACUGCCAGGCAAUUCUGGGGUGCCCGACCUACCCGGUACGACUAUUUUGGGGCGCCGACCUACCCGUACAACCAUUAUGGGGUGCCGACUUACCCAUGCGGCCAUUAUGGGGUGCCGUCCUACCCGUGUCAACCAUUCUGGGGUGCUGAACUGCCCGUUGGUCCUAACAACCAAGCCUUGGGGACUAUUCCACCCCCUACUGCUACUAUCACAUAUAUCAUAACAUAAACAUAUUAUCAGACAUAUAUGGGGUGUCCGAACUACCCUUCGGUCCUAACAACCGAACUUAGGGACUAUUCCCCUCCUACAAGCAUAUAAACAUAUCAUCCCAUACUGUCAGACAUAUCUGGGGUGUCCGAACUACCCUUCGGUCCUAACAACCGAACUCUACUACUAUCACAUAACAUAACAUGCCAGCAUAUAACAUAUCAGUUAGUAGCAAACCUAGAUGAAUAGCACAAAGACAAUCAUCUAACAUAUGACUCCUACUGGUGGGCCGAUAUUGUGGUCGUAGACCCACCUCUACUGGAAGGUAACUCACCUUGAACAAGUAGCUGCUGAUAAUCCGUGUGGGAAGUCUCUGUCCGCUGCUGCUCCGGAAAUCCUCCAGCUACAAUCCCCACAAAUACUUAGUCAGAAAUCUACUCUUAGGGUAAAAUGACUAUUCUACCCCCAAUCAAGUCCAAGUCAAAGUCAACUUCAAGUUAACCCGACUCGCCGAGUUGGUCCAUCAACUCGCCGAGUCCCUUACCCUUUACUCGUCCUCAUCCAUGACCCCACUCGUCGAGUUGGGUCAUCAACCCGAUAAAUUCUUCUCUCAUAUGAGCAUCACAUGAAAACUCAUCCGACUCACCGAGUUGAUGAACAACUCCUCGAGUUCACCUUCAUCUGAUGAACAAGUUCUGUCCUCGACUCGCUGAGUUGAUGAACAACUCGUCGAGUUCAUCUUCAUCCUUAAGAAGAUUGCCUUGGACUCACCGAGUCCAAGAACGGACUUGCUGAGUCCAGUCUUGACCAAUUCUAUACAGUCGAUUUAAAUGAGAUCUAACACACCAAAACCAUAGAUCUUGCCUCCUAAUGUCCACUUUAUACGUAAAGUUACAAACUUGAUGCACAUGCAUGGGGUUUUUAGCUCAAAAAUCCACAUAAAGUGUCCUACAAUGUGCAUGGGGCUCUCAUGGCACUAAAGUUGGCACCUUUAUGCCAUAAGACCCCUCUUAAGGUCCAGAUCUGAAGUCAAAACCCACUCAACACUUCCAAUUCCGAAACAUGAUUUAGCAAUCCAAAGAGAUCCCAAGUUAAAGAUGAAUAAACAUAUAGAUGAGUCAAGAAAGGGGCAUUAUACCUUGAAGCUGCUGAAAAUGAAGUAAAAUCCCUGGAUCUACUGGCCCCAACUCGAGUUCCAAGCUCCUUCCUUCCUUCCAAGCUUUACAACCACACAAUGUAAGGCCCAAAUAAGGAUCUUUACCAGCAAUCAAGCAAUAAACAAUCACAGAAUAAGAACAAGAUGAAAAGAAACCAAGCUUGCACACUAUUAUAUUAAAUAAAUCGUGAGGUACAACUCGAUGGACUGCUCUGUAAACUCUAUGGCAUCAACAACGACAAAAGACCAACUCCUCCACUAUUUAUACUCGACUAGACCGCAAACUGUGUUUGCGACCGUAAAUAGGGUUUACGGCCGUAAACUCUGUUUACGGUCGUGAACACACAAAUUGACCAAAACGAAAUAAACAACUCAUAAACUGUAUUACAGACUCAUGCCAAACAAAAUACACUGAAAGCCUAGACCAUACCAUUAAUUGGACUCUUCAAUCUCCCCCUUUGUUUGGUGCUAGCUUGGACUCAGUUGUCGACCACCGGUACAUCGGACUUUCCCAUCGCUCCGUUUCACAUUUUCUUCUCUAUAAUUUCAGCCACCAUCGAAGUGUAUUCUUUUGCAGCAGGCUCAAAGAUAUCUUCAGCCACCACAAUCUGAUGAGUAGCGAGAUGAUGUAUGUCCCGCUUGCCAAAUUGAAGCAAAUCCCUUUUGUCAUACAGACGGAUGCAAUCUUCCUUAAGCUUGAUGACAGCAGCAUCUAUAGAUUCAUCAUACACCCAAUAUUGCAUGGAUGCGAGAGAACCAUCUGAAUGAUUUUGAAGAACAGGAAUGUGCUUAACUUGAGCAGUAGCAGGCCACAUCACUAACCGAAGUGGCCGACUUGUUUUGGGAUCAAUGACCUUUUUGUGGACCUUGACAAAAGACUCUGCAAUAUUCAUUGACGGAAAGCCUUGGCCACUUGAUCUUCCAAAAAGGAUUUGAACUGACUUGCCCUGGGAUUGCCUGAUGGAUUUGAGAAAGGGGCAUUGGACAACUCAAUAAGAUCAAUCUUAGUAAAAGAAUGAAAGUCGUGAGCAUCUUUGUAUAGUUCUUUAUUGUCGCUCUUUCUCCUCACCAUAAACAUAUUCAUGGUGUCAUGGAAUCCCCACGAGAUGAUUCCUGACCUAUCGCCAUACAUAUCUCUGAAACGAUGCACGCCCAGAUCCGUAAUGGUGAUCUGUGGAUUAUCCCAGGGUGCCUUAUGAUCUACGCUCCUUUUGAAUAGCAAUUGACCUUGGUCAGAAGACUUUUCAGUAGACUUGUCAAAUUUGGCGCGUUUUAAUGCUGCUGCACUUGGAGCUUGAGCCGGUUCCUUUUCAAAACGGUCCUCGAUGAUGGUGGUUCUGGUAGGUUGAGGAACAAUGGGAGCAUCUUGGUUGGGAAGAUAAAUCUGUGGCUCGUCAACGGAUGACUUAAAUUCAUCUCCAAGUUUAUCUUCCAACUUUUUCUUCAAAUCGUAGUAGAUGGCGGUCAACAGGCCAAAAUGUGUCUGAAGAUCUGUAAUCUGCUUUGUCUUCAGAACUUUAUCUUCACUAAGUUCGGCCACUUCAAUAUUGAGCUUUGUGUUUUCAGCUUGAAGGUCUGAGAUCUUGAUAUCCAGCUCAAUAUUUCUCUGAUCAAGAUCAACAUUCUUUUGAAUCAGAGUGUCGAUUUGUUUCCGGAGUCCAAGAAGUGAGGGAGUCUCUUCUCCUGAGCUGUCACCCCCAAUAAGAAUUCCUUUGCCGUGUGGGGGUGGCGUAGAAAUUUGUUCUUCUGCUAGGAGCCUAGCUAGCCUAACCGAGGCAGCAUCAUCCUAUGGCCUGGGAGGAGAGAAACCUAUUGGGAAUGAAGGGCCACCAGCUUCAUAGAAGGUACUAGGACCUUCAUCGACGGGUUCAGCUGAGACUAUGACAGGUGUGGUUGUUGGUGGAGCUGUAACACUUCGACUUGCCAGUCUAAGGACGAGUUUGUGUCUUUUACUUAGAGGAGGAGAGGCUUGUGUAGUAGUGUGAUCACUUUCCACUGGCUCAGAUGUAGGUAUGAAAAUAUCAAGGGAGGAAUCCCUGAUACUGUCACCAUAGGAAUUACUAUUUCCGCUGAUGGAUUGGAAGGAGUAGGUGUGGCUUCAAGAACAUCUUAUUCUUCCCUUUGUCUCUGUUGUUGGAUGAGCAACUUCAUCGACAUUAUCAAGCAACUUGUCGAGGCUUUCUUUGGUCAUAAAAUCUUCAUUGCUACUGAAGUUUAAGGGAAUUUCAUCAUUAUCGAAUCAUGUGAGGUCGAGAUCUUCAUACAAUUCAGUCUCAGCCCUUGACCCUCAUUGUAAUCCCCUUGAACCUGUACCGACUGUAAUUCGUGUUCCUCAGCGACUUGGGCAUUUGCAGCUGGAGUUUCGUCGGCAUCAUGAUCUGAAAUGGUGAUGACAUCAUCAGAAACAACCCUUUCAGAGGAAGUGGGCUCAGAUGAUGCUUUAUCAGAUGUUCCAUGAGACUCGGAAGAUUCAUCAAGCUCAGCAAAUUUCCCGAACUUCACCAAGGGAUGUAAUCCUUGAAAAAUGACCUUGCCCUUCCGAUUUUGUUUAAUAAGACCAACAGUGUGAGGACCCAAGGAUUUUAUAUCUAGCUUGUCACCAUCCUUAACUAUUUCUGGAAAUUGAUCGUCGAUGAACACUUGAAUAAACCUCGGGUAUCGCAAAAAUGCAUCUCUGGUUCCCCGGGUCAUGGCAUUUAUGUUCACCAAGAACUCAUCAAGAAUAAACUUUGAGAAGUUGAAUUUUAUGCUAGCAGCCAAAGAGACAAUCGCCCCUGUGUUCCUGAUAGAGAUUUCAUCAGCUCCUGAUCUCCUGCCUGAGAUGCAGCUCACGAACACGUGUGCCAGUAAUCGCCAGUAAGGAGGCAAGAUCUUUUUCACUGUGGGAGGGUAGGUACCCUCGUAUCCCAUCUUCUCAAAAAAUCCGUUGUACAUCAUCAAUCCCAAUUUCAGUAGGAAAAUUGGAUUCAUCAUUGACCAGCAAAGUAUCUCUGAUGUACUGCUCCGUGAUUUUGAUCUUGCAACCUUUAACCACAGCUUCAAUUGACAUCUCCCCAUUGACUUUUGACAUCUUAGCCGUCUGCCAAAACUCCCGGACAUUGUUUUGAUAAAUGAUAGGAUUCACAGUAAUGGCACACGCUAAGCAACAUUCUCUUAGUCUGUAGAUCAUUGAUUUGAAGUCUCCAUGAGCAGCCGGAGGUUCAUCCAACACAAUUGCCAGGUGGUGCAUGUUAGCAAACUUAAGAUUCGCCAUUGAUCUGCACUAAACAAGCCAAGUAAGAAAACAAAGUAUUUAAACAAUUUAAAGCUUUAAGUUUUCUUAAUUAAAAAAUUUUAUUUUGGCCUUAAAAAAUAAUAUCUUGAUCAAAAAUUUCAGUUUAUGGUCAAUAGUGGUCAAACAGGGUUUACGGUCCAAACUGGUCAUCUAACCGUAAACUGAGUUUACGGCCGUAAACUCAGAUGAGUUUACGAUCACAAACCCAAAGCGAGUUUACGGUCGUAAGGCCAAAAAGGGUUUACGGUUCUUGAAUAUCCCCAAACCGUAAACUCUCCCAAAACCGUAAACGCCGACGAACACCAAAACUCCGAUUACUCCUCCAGUUUAAGUCGAAUCGAUGAAAAAAUAGCCUUUCCCCAGUCGGUUUUGUCGUACCUUCGAAGUGGACUAGUUGAUUUCGCAAAAAAAAAGGCUCUAAAAGUUUUCGAGGAGAGAGAGUAGAGAGAGGGAGGAGGCUUGCGGCUGUAAAAGGGAGAAGUGGGAGAGGAAAGGGUUUAUAGCAGUAAACUCUUCCUUUUAUACUCCCUUAACUUUUACCUGUCUCCCACACAGUAUUAUGCACAGUCCAAAUCGCGAUUAAUUUUUUUUUUAAAAAAAAUAAAACUUUUUGAGGAUAUUUUUAAAAUAAAAAUAAAAAUUAACUAAUUUCUAAUAAUUUAAGAAUUAAAAAUUAAAUUUUUUUUAACAAUUAUAAAAAUAAAAAUAAAAUAAAAUAAAUUUAAACUUUGAAUAAGCAUAGACAAAAUUUAUCUCAACAUUACUGACAAGCUCUUGUGACACUGGGAUCAAAGUUGUUAGACAACCUUAAUCCACUUGUUAGUACGGUUCAUCUUCACGUCUUUGUCUGGUCGAUCGUCGAUAUUGUGGUCCACUUAAACACGAAAAAUUGUGACAGAUUUAGGACAUGCUAUUAGUUACAAGACAAAGUGAUCCUAAGUUCCUAGAUGUUAUAUCUUAAUGAUCAUUCAGCUGACGACGACCACGGAUAUUGUUGUCCACCUAAAUUGAGCGGCGAGAUCUAUAGACAAUCUUUCAGUGUUCAAUUUUAAUUGUACUAGAACAUGUUUCCCGCUUCCUGAUAUGCCCCAGUAAUCAAGGACUUCCAGAAUACUCCUUACAUCGGGUGAGCAGACAAUUAUAAAGAGAGAAGAUAGAUUUAGAAUGCAUAUGCUAUACACCCAGUUCGGAUCUCUUCGAAUCACAUAGAGGGUGAAACAUAUGACUAACGGAAGUUUUAGAGGGAUUGAGAAGUAGAAUGGUGCAUAUACUGUGUACCAGGUCGGAUUGUGAGUCACGCAAAGGAGACAAUAUAUGGCUAAUAGAUAGAAAGAAUUGCAUAAAUAGAAUAUGCAGAGAAAUAGAGUUGCAUAUGUUACAGUCCAGGUCGGAUUUUGAGUUAUGCAGAGGAGGUAACAUAUGACUAACAGAUAGAAAGAACGAAUAUAACCUUCUACAGGCCUAAUUUAUCGGAAUUCACCAGUCGCCCCAUCAAUACCGGAAUUAAGGAUAGAAUCUGCACAUCGAGGAAAAGUUAAUGCACGGUUCCAAGUACAGGUUCUUUAAUGUGACAAGUAGAUUCCCAUAUAUAUCUCCCUGCUCAACCUAUCCGAGCGUCGUAUCGUCAGGCUAAACGGAUCUAACUAGGUCAAGAUUUGUCAAGUCUAGAAAUUUCCUAAGUUCAACUUUGUGUAGUCAUGUCCAUUUAGAAUCUUCUGUGCCUACCGACGCAUCAAACUAGAGCAUAGACCCUUCAACUUUGGGUACGUUACGUAGACUUAGAUUGCAUGUUAUCACUUGAUAAUAUCACUUCCCAGUCCUUCAUGAACAAGCAAAACUUUAUGCAACAAUUUUUUUGAUUUUUCUGAAUUUUUAAUGUUUUUGGAUUUUUUAAUGUUUUCUGAAAAAAAUAAAAGAGAGGCAGAAUGUUUUUGGAUUUUUGAAAUUUUCAAUUUUUGUUUGGUUUUGUUUUUAUUUCUCCCCUAAAUUUGUGCAUGGAAGAGAAUGAAAUGACUGAAAUGCUCAAAUUUAAACUAACCUAAUUAAUAACAAAAAUUAAUCCUCAAAACGAAUCAUUUUCAAAAAUCCCACAAGCACAUCGAAUCGAGCUUUGUUAAAAGGCUUAGUGAACAGAUCCGCCACAUUAUUGGCAGUGGGAACCUGUUCUAGCCGGAUGAGCGAACGCUCAUACAAUCUCUGAUAAAGUGAAUUUUGAUGUCAAUGUGCUUGGUUUUGGAAUGUUGAACCGGAUUUUUAGUAAUUUGAAUAGCAGCCUCAUUAUCACAGCGAAUUGGGGUUUAUAGAUAAUUCAAACCGUAGUCCAGCAACUGAUGUUGGAUCCAUAUAACUUGAGAACAGCAAGCUGAUGCAGCAACGUAUUCCGUUUCUGCUGUUGAGGUAGAGGCGGUAUGCUGUUUCUUGCACUGCCACGACACCAGCCUAUCACCAAGGAAUUGGCACCCUCCUGAUGUGGAUUUCCUGUCAAGCUCACAGCCUCCAUAAUUACUGUCAGCAAAAGCAUAUAAAUCAAAUUCAGAAUUCUUCGGAUACCAAAGACCCGAUUUUGGGCUGCCUUUGAUAUACCGAAAGAUCUUUUUGACAGCAAUAAGAUGUGAAAGUUUAGGAUUCGCCUGAUAGCGAGCACAUUGACACACUGCAAACAUGAUGUCGGGACGGCUUGCAGUGAGAUACAUCAGGGAACCGAUCAUCGAUCUAUAGUGAGUCUGAUCUACGGAUUUGCCAUCAAUAUCUAGAUUCAGCAGGGGUCUUUCAGCCAUUGGUGUCGAUGCAGGCUUUGUGUCUUCAAACCCGAACUUCUCAAGAAUAUCCUCCACAUACUUUGCUUGAUGUAGCAGAAUUCCGUUUGAACUUUGUUUGACCUAAAGCCCCAGAAACAUGGUCAUUUCACCUAGAGAACUCAUCUCGAAUCGCUUCUUCAUCACGCCUUCAAACUCUUUGCAAAGAUUUGGACAGGUAGACCCGAAGAUAAUGUCGUCAACAUAGAUCUGAACUAGUAUCUGAUCAUUACCCACAUGCUUGAUGAAUAAAGUUUGAUCAAUAGUGCCGCAAGAGUAUCCAUGAUCGAGCAAGUGCUUUGUUAGAGUCGCAUACCAUGCUCGAGGAGCUUGAUGUAACCCAUACAACGCCUUGUCCAACUUGUAGACAUGAUUAGGGAACUUUGAGUUAACACACCCAAGGGGUUGAUCAACAUAAAUUUCUUACUUCACCUUGCCAUACAAGAAGGCAGUCUUGACAUCCAUUUGGUAGACCGUGAAUUUCAUGUAGGAAGCGUAUGCGAGAAAGAUACGAAUAGCCUCUAAACGAGCCACGGGAGCAUACACUUCAGUAUAAUCAAGACCCUCAAUUUGUCGAAACCCGAGAACCACCAACCUUGCUUUAUUACACACUAUUACACUAGAAUCAUCCUGCUUAUUAGGAUAGACCCAACGCAUGUCAAGAGACCUUUUGCCCUUUGGUAACUCAACCAACUUCCAAACCCCGAGCUUUUCAAACUGAUUUAGCUCUUCAUGCAUUGCAUCUACCCAGCUGGGAUCAUUCAAAGCCAUUUCAACGUUCUUGGGCUCUAUUUGAGAUAUAAAGCAAGAGUAGAGACAUGCAUUAACAUCUCCACUCUGACUUCUGGUUUUAACUCCAUCACCCAGCUGACCAAUGACGUGAUCGAUCGGAUGACCGCAUUGAAUUCUUGAAGGUGUGUCUUGGCUGAUAUCAUUGAGUGAAACAGGAAGAGUGUGUAUGUUGAAACCUCCAUCAUCUACUGAUUGAUUCACAAUAGAUGAAUCUGCUACAAACUCAUUAGUAAUUUCUUCAGGAAAGAGUAGUUCCAUAAAAUUUGGAUUGACAGCGGAAGCAUCUCUAGACAUGAACUCUCUCUCAACAGGUGUAAGAGGUGUAGCAUCAGCAUCAGGAGUUUCAUUUGUAACCUUAGACUCUGGACUAUUUGGUUGAUCAGAUGACUCCCCCUCAGGUGGAGCAGAGGACGCCCCCUCAGAUGGAGCAGAGGACUCCCCCUCAACCGUUGGAGGUCUGUAGACAACUUCUUCGUCUUUGUCUUCAGAAACAAUCUUCGAACCAGAGGAGGAUCCACUUGACCUAUCUGUAGACACAUUUAAAGAUUUGAAAAGUGAUGUGUAAUCAAAUAACCAAUCGGGACCCACUCGAGCGUCUGUUUCAUUCUCCUCCAACCGGCGCACGUCAUAGGAUUCUACUAUAUUCUUAGUCCUUUUGUUGUAAACCCUAUACGCGGUGCGCGCAGCAUACCCUACAAAGUAACAAUCACCGACUUUGGCAUUGAAUUUAGGAUUGGAUUCCAAGUGAAGAAGGGUACAAGGGCAACCAAACACACGGAAAUGGCUGACAGAAGGCUUGUGUCCAUAGAGAAUCUCGUACGGUGUCUUCAUAUGUGCUUUGUUGAUUAGAAGACGAUUCUGCAUGUAGCAAGCAGUGUUAAUCGCCUCGGCUCAAAAGAAAACAGGCAGUUUGGAAUCACAAAGCAUUGUCCUUGCGGCAUCUUUCAAAAUUCUAUUUCUCCUUUCAGCAACACCAUUUUGUUGAGGCGUGUGAGCAGAGCUAUAUUGACGCACUAUCCCCUUUUCUAUGCAAAAAUGGUCAAGAACUGCAUUCUUGAACUCAGUUCCAUUAUCAGUACGAAGCGCCUUCACUUGGUUGUUGGUUUGUUUCUCAAUCAUCACAACGAACUUCUUUAUCAGAUUAGCAACCCCCGCUUUGUUAGAUAAGAAGAAGACCCACGUAAACCGAGAGAAAUCAUCGAUCACAACGAGACAGUACGAGCUUCUGUUGAUGCUCAGGACGUUGACCGGACCAAAUAAGUCCAUAUGCAAUACUUGGAGCACUUGACUGAUUGAGUUGACUUGCUUGGCAGGUGUGGUUUCCGAUGAUGUUUUCCUUAAGCAUAGGAAACACACCUCUCAAAUGUAAUAAAGUCUCUAACGGAGGCCUCGGACCAUCUCAUUCUUAGCAAGGCGAUUCAGGUUUUUCGCGUUAGCAUGGCCGACCCUUCGGUGCCACAACAUUGCAUUUUGUUCGGACACUUUUGAGAAUAGGUAAGUGACUUGUUCAGGUAGGUUACUGUUCAUAUCAAUAAUGUAAGCAUUCCCAUCCCAUUUAGAUUUGACUAGAAUCCACUCUUCCGGGAUGCCUAGCUUGAGAAUCAUACAUUCUUUAUCGGUAAAAUGGGUAGAGUAGCCUUUGUCGCAGAUUUGAGAAACACUCAACAAGUUGUGCUUUAACUCGGGAGUGAAGUUGACAUUCUCAAAGCUUAGCACUCCAUUUGUAACGGUUCCUCUCUUUGUGAUCUUGCCACCAUCAUCACCCCGCGAAGGAAACAUAACCCCCAAUAAAAAAUUGAAUUUCGCUUUAUUGGGAGAUGUCUCCUGUCAUAUGCCGGCAGCAGCCGCUGUCGACGUACCAAGGACGAACGACAUUCCUCCACAACUGUCCCUACAAAAUGAGCGGAAUCAUUUAGAUUUAGGAACCCAAGUCAUCACUAUCCUCGGUUUCCUUUUUGUUUUCUAUGAUUUAUCCUUCAAUAUUUUCAAAUUGGGAUCCUCAUUCUUAAUCACUUCAGAAGAUGUUAAUGAUGGAUUAGAAAGCGAUUUGGGCUUCCAUUGAUAUUUGGGUUUUACAACAUUCUCAGGUGGUUUUGAAAUAUGUUUGAGUUUGCACCGAGCGUCUGGAUUUUCUACCAGAAGUGGUGGAAGAUCCAAAAUUGCUUUUUGAUGAACCCGAUCUUGGCAGAGCCUUGUUCGGUUUUGGCAAACUACUUUGAGCUUUGUUAGUAAAAACCUUUUUAUUCUUUUGAAAAUUAGCCCUUUUUCUGCUUCGAUCAUCUUUCCAAUCAUCAUUUUGAGAACGAGUUCUUGAGGAUUUUCUAAUUAAAGACCUUCCUCGAGAUUCGUUCUCUCCUCUUGGUGACAAGUAGUUUACAAAGAUCCUAUUUUGACAAUUCCUAGCUAUAUGACCACCAACACUACAACUAAAACAAAUAUGUUUAUUAUUUGAACUUGUACUGCAUUUUUCGGAUUUAUUUUCUUGACAGACACUCUCACUUUUCUCAGAAGAACAUGAAUGAGGGAUAGAUUGAGAGAUAAGUGAGGGUGUCUCAGUUGUUGUGACUUGUGGAAUUGAUGGUGUUUCAUGAGUAUCACAAGCAUCAGAAUUACCAAACAGUUCAUCAAACAUAUCAAAGAAAUUAAAUGCAACAGAAUAAAAUGUGGAAGCAUCACACGAAACAUUAUCAGUCUUAACAUCAGAAACAUAAACGUUUUCAUUUGAAAUAGAAAAUUCAGAAUUAGAAACAGAAACAUAAACAUGUCCUCCAACUCCAUGCUUUGCCUGGUCUAAGGGUAGAUCUGCAGGGGAAGUAGAAAUGUUAGUACUUUCAACAUUAAUAAAUCUGCAUUAAACAAAACCAGAUGGCUUGCCAUAAACCAUAAAUGGUUUGUUGGCAAUCUCCUCCAUGGAUAGGGGUUGAUACAGAUAUGUAUGAUUAUAAGGAGGAGGUACACUAUCAUAUCCUAAACCCUUAGACUGAUUUCGUUUAAAUUGCAUGCAAUGAUCAAUCAUGGUGUUAACUACCUUGCUUGAUCCAUCAAAUUUUUGAAAAGCAAAGUUUGCAGAAUCAAACUCAUUUUUUAAUGUAUCAAGCUUAGUAAUUAACUCAUCAUUUUGUCAUUUAACAUAAUCAUACAAUUCACAUUUUUCAUUGUAUUCUGUUUGAAUCCUUCUGAAAUCUUUUAUUUUAGUUUCUAACUGGCCCUAAGUGGUUUUUGUCCUUUCCUAAGUUGGUAGCCCUCGUAUCUAAGGUCCUCUACUUCUCUACGUAAUAAUUGUAUUUCAUCACGAAGAACUUUAACAUAUUCUUUACAUGCAUGAGAAUAGGAUGGUAGGUUUACCUCGCUUUUCUUGGGCUCGGACGAUGUAGACACCAUUAGGGCAAACUGCAGCUCCAUCAUUUCUACUUCGGGAUCAACAUCAUCAUUCUUCAAGGUAGCAUCAUCAAUCUGAGCUAGGUGAGCAUUUUCUGGCCCUGAGAUAUUCAAAGCCUGAAUCUGGUCCACCCAAUCAAAUGAUUGAGAGACCAUAGCAGUCUCACCAUUAGCUGCAGCACCUACAUGGUUGUUUCCCACUGCUACCAUUUGCCUGUUACUAUUGAUCCUACGAUCUGGCUUAGGGCAUUCACGAGCAAAAUGACCCGGCUCGUGGCAGUUGAAACAUCUUAGCAUGCCCUUGUUAAAUCCCACCUUCUUUUCAGGAUUCAUGCCCCAGUUGCUCUUCCCUGUCUUCUUAGCAAACUGCUUGGCCUUGAAAAUAGCCAUAGCAAUCUGCCAUGUAAUGUCCAUCUCUUCUACGUCUUCAGGAUGAAUCUGAUCCAAAUCAGCAAAUGACAGCUGAGGUGGAAGAUCUCCAGCUACAAAAGCAUUGUAGCAAUUAACUAGCCCAGUAGCUAGAGCCAGAUUUUCAUCAGAGUCUUUAGAGUUUGAGGAAGAGGCUACAGCUGGCACAUUUGGAGCAGGGACAACUUGUGGAGUGACAUAUGGAUGAGUUUGAUGGUGAGGGAUGGAUGAUGCAGCAGCGAAGAUCUGAAUCUGAGGUUGUUGAGCUGCAAAGGCUUGACCUGAGGAGGACAUGAUUGAUGAGAAAGCAUUGUUGGAUGAGAUUCCAAGAUUUUCAGUAGAUUAUGAGUUCACAUGAUUAAUCUCUCUCUGUUUGUCAUCAAUGUCACAAGCUUUGAUAAUCGCCAUAAUUUCAGCAAGAGUGAGGCGAUUUAAAUCCUUGGAUUUCUUAAUCACAGCAACAUUCAUAUCCCAUGAUCUAGGAAGAGCAUUCAGAAGCUUCUUGUUGAUUUCUAACUUGGUCAAGAAAAUCCCAUAUAUGUUCAUGUCAGUUGUGAGAGUUGUGAACCGCUGCAGCUGAGCCUCAAGAGUCUCUCCUGGAAUGUAGUUGAACAUAUUAAACUUUUGUCUCAACAUGUCCUGCCGACUCUCCUUCAUAUCUGCAUUGCCCUCAUAAACUUCAAUUAGGGCUUCCCAUAUAUCUUUAGCUGAGGUGUACUCACGAAAACCUUGAGCAAUAUCGGGAGAUAAUGCCAUGGUUAAAGUGGCUAAAGCCCUUUCCUGCUCCUCAAUUUUCUCAAACUCCCCAUCAGUGUAGUUUUCAACAGCCUUGUCAAUCACUUGGCCUCUAACUGUCAUAGUGAUUCUAACAGGGCCUCUAAAAAUGCUUCUCCAGACUUUGAAAUCUUUCAUCUUAAUGUAUUUUUCAAUUCUAUACUUCCACUCAGGAAAUCCAUCUGCAGACAUCAAUCUUGGAAUACGCAUAGUAGUGCCCAUGACAAUAUCAAGUUCGUGAAAAUGACUUUGACUUUGAGAAUCCAUUUGAAAUUAAAGCAAUUUAAAAUCACAAAGGUGUUUACGGUUGAUGAGUUUACGACCGUAAACUGGGUUUACGGUUGUAGAUUUUACGGUUUAUGAGUUUACAGAUCUUAAAGUUCUUGAGGCCUUGUUUGCGGUUUUUGAAGAUUCAUAGUUUACGGUUGAUGAAGAUCUUGAGUUUAGAACCGUAAAUAGUGUUUACGGUCGGCAGUAAACUCCCAGAAAGCUCUCAAACACACGUUUUUGCAAUAGAUUCAGAUCCUUUAACCAUUAAAACACCAAAACCAAUUUUCGAGCAAUAAGAAUAUCAGUUUAAGCACCCCAAAUCUUGAUUGAAUGAAGCUUGACACUGGUUACUGCUCUGAUACCAAAUGUAAGGUCCAAAUAAGGAUCUUUACCAGCAAUCAAGCAAUAAACAAUCACAGAAUAAGAACAAGAUGAAAAGAAACCAAGCUUGCACACGAUUAUAUUUAAUAAAUCGUCAGGUACAACUCGAUGGACUGCUCUAUAAACUCUAUGACAUCAACAACGACAAAAGACCAACUCCUCUACUAUUUAUACUCGACUAGACCGCAAACUCUGUUUACGGUCGUGAACACACAAAAUGACCAAAACGAAAUAAACAACUCAUAAACUGUAUUACAGACUCAUGCCAAACAAAAUACACUGAAAGCCUAGACCAAACCAUUAAUUGGACUCUUCACACAAGAACACCAAAAAUGGCCUCAAUAAAGCACAAACGGCUAGGGUUUCAAUGAGAAGUGUUUUGGGAGCAUAAGGGAAAUAUGGUUGUCAUAUCAUUGCUUAAAUAGGGUGCAAACCCUCGGAUUAGGGUUUUUGUCCGAACAGUACCUACUCGCCGAGUCCGGGAUAGGUCUCGCGUUCCGUCCCACUUCUACUCGGCGAUUUGGUCCUUCAACUCGCCAAGUCCAAGGCCAAGAUGCGAAAAAUACUUAGAAAGAAAUACGUACCAAGAACCAGGUGCUACAAAUCUCCCCCACUUAUUUUAGACUUUGUCCUCGAAGUUUGCUGCUCGAUCCUGAAAUAGCUCUGGGUAGUGCUCCAUCAUCUCGUCCACCAGCUCCCAAGUCCAUUCCGAGCCCCUCCGGUGCUGCCAUUGCACCUUCACAAGUUCCACUCUCUUGUUCCUCAGAUCCUUCGACUUCCAGUCGAGGAUUGCUACUGGCCGCUUAAUGUAAUUCAGGCUGUCAUCGACCUGAAUGUCCUAUAAGGGUACCACUGCUGAGUCGUCCACCAGGCACUUCCGCAGCUAGGAGACGUGGAAAGUGAUGUGGAUCUGGCUGAGUUCGGCAGGCAGAUCCAGCCUAUACGCCACGUUGCCCACACGGGCUAUAACCCUGAACGGUACAAUGUACCUGGGGCCCAAUUUGCCCCGUUUCCUGAAUCGGAUAACGCCCUUCCAUGGCGACACCUUUAGGAGAACCAUAUCCCCGACCUGGAACUCCAGGUCUGAUCGGCGCUUAUCGGCAUAAAUUUUCUGCCAACUCUGAGCAGUAUGAAUCCUGCUCCGGACCUGCUGAAUCCUCUCUGUCGUCUUGAGCACUACUUCAGUGCUCCUUAUUCCCCUCUGUCCAACCUCGCCCCAACAUAUCGGGGUCCUGCACCUCCUCCCAUAUAGCAUCUCGAAGGGAGGGCAGUCAAUGCUUGCAUGAUAACUAUUGUUAUAGGAGAACUCUGCUAAUGGAAGGUAGGUAUCCCAACUACCUCCGAAGUCUAACAUGCAUGCUCGUAGCAUAUCCUCCAGAUUCUGGAUGGUCCGCUCGCUCUGAUCAUCUGUCUGCAGGUGAAAGGUGGUUCUAAAAUGCAGACGAGUACCCAGCUCGUCAUGAAACUUCUUCCAAAACCUGGAAGUGAACCGCACAUCCCUGUUUGAAAUAGAUGUCGGCCAACUUCUCAGAUGUCGGCCACCACCUCCCGGAUAUAGAUGUCGGCCAACUUCUCGGCCGAGAUGCUCUCAUGAAUCGGGAUAAAAUGGGCGCUCUUGGUCAAUCGGUCAACGAUGACCCAGAUCGAAUCCACUCCCCGCGCGGUCCUUGGAAGCUUUGUGAUAAAAUCCAUCAUGAUGUCUUCCCAUUUCCAUAGCGGAAUAUCCAACGGCUGCAUCUUGUCGUGAGGUCUCUGAUGCUCAGCCUUGACCUUCCUAUAGGUUAAGCACCGCUCCACGAACCAUGCUACAUCCCGCUUCAUGCAGGGCCACCAAUAGUCCAGACGAAGAUCCCUAUACAUCUUCGUCACCCCGGGAUGAAUAGAGAAUCAUGAUUGGUGUGCCUCCUCCAUCAGAACCUGGUGCACACCCCCGUGGUAUGGCACCCACACCCAUUCGGUGUAGUGUCAGUAAUCCUCGACUGUCAUAGUCGAAGGAGGAAACCUGCCCCACGAUCCGCUCGCUUUUCUGAUGUUCGUCCGUCAUGGCCUCCUGUCGGGCCUCCCAAAUCUGCUCCAACAGCGGAGUCACCACUGUCAUCCUCAGGCAGAUAUCACUGAUCGGCACUGCCUUACAGCUAAGCGCGUCGGCCACCACAUUGGCCUUCCCCGGGUGAUAAAGGAUCUCGCAAUUGUAAUCCUUUACCAAGUCCAUCCACCAACGCUGCCUCAUGUUUAGAUUCGGCUGAUCCAUGAGGUACCUCAAACUCUUAUGGUCCGUGUAGAUGGUACAACGAACCCCAUAGAGGUAAUGUUACCAGAUCUUGAGGGUGAAUACAACAGCCCCCAACUCCAAAUCAUGCGUCGGGUAUUUUGCCUCGUGAGGCUUUAGCUGCCUCGAUGCAUAGGCGAUGACAUGCCCUCUCUGCAUCAAUAUUGCGCCCAAACCUGAGAUGGACGCAUUGCAGUACACAAAAAAAUCCUCCAUGCCCUCUAGCAGGGCUAAGAUUGGUGCCUCACACAAUCUCUGUCUCAGUGUCUCGAACGCGGCCUGCUGCUCAGACCCCCAACGAAAGAUCACGACCUUCCUUGUUAGCCUGGUCAGGGGUACGGCUAUCUUGGAGAAAUCAUGGAUGAAUCUCCGAUAGUAGCCAGCCAAUCCUAGGAAACUCCGAAUCUCAUAUGGAGACUUCGGAACCUCCCAUCUCAUCACGGCCUCCACUUUGGCCAGGUCCACUGAAAUCCCGUUCUAGUUGACGAGAUGCCCAAGGAACUGCACCUCGCGCAACCAGAACUCACACUUGGAGAACUUAACAUACAAGUUCUCCCUCCUCAAAGUCUCUAGAACCUCUCGUAGAUGCUCCUCGUGCUCCUCCUGCUUCUUGGAGUAAACAAAGAUGUCAUCAAUAAACACUAUCACAGAUCGGUCUAACAUCGGUCUACACACGCGUUUCAUGAGGUCCAUGAACGCGGCAGGAGCAUUGGUGAGCCCGAAGGGCAUCAUCACAAACUCGUAGUGUCCAUAGCGCGUCCGAAAUGCAGUCUUAUGUUCAUCCUCCUCUCUGACCCUCAUCUGAUGAUGUCCUAAAUGUAGAUCAAUCUUGGAGAACCAAGAUGCUCCCUGUAGCUAAUCAAAGAGCUCAUCAAUCCUCGGGAGUGGGUAACGGUUCUUCACCGUUACCUUAUUCAGCUCCCGAUAAUCUAUACACAUCUGAUGUGACCCGUCCUUCUUUUUCACAAACAGAAUCGGGGCUUCCCAGGGUGAACUACUUGGUCUAAUGAAUCCCUUGUCUAACAGCUCCUGCAGCUAUGUAGACAACUCCUACAUCUCAAGAGGAGCCAACCGAUAUGGUGCCCUGGCAAACGGAGCCGCACCAAGGACUAGGUCGAUCAUGAAAUCCACCUGUCGCUCCGGAGGUAUCCUAGGCAACUCCUCGGGGAAUACAUCCACAAACUCUCGUACCAUGGGCACCUCGUCCACUGUCGCCUUUCCCGCCUCCCGGGUGUCCAUGACAUAAGCGACAUAUCCGGCGCAACCCUGCUGAAGGUAACGCCUUGCCCUUGCUGCCAAACAUAAGGCUAGCCCUCGCUGUGGCCUCUCGCCCUGAAUCACUAACUCUCCCCCUCCUGGGGUCCUGACUCGCACCAACUGAUGUGCGCAAUCUAUCCCCGCCCCAUUGGGGCUCAGCCAAUCCAUGCUGAUAAUCACCUUGUUCCCUCUCAACAGAAUAGGAAUCAGGUCUACCAGGUAACGCUCCUCGAACAAUCUCAAAAUACAAUCUCGGAAGACCUUUGAUGCUCGCACUGACCGGUCGUCCACAAUCUGGACCUUUAGAGGGCAAUCCAACAUGCCCAAAGACUCAGGGAACUUCUUGCUAAGAGCAAGAGAGACAAAUGAUCGGGUAGCACCCGAAUCAAACAAUACCUGAACUGGAAUACCAUUCACAUGAAUGAUCCUAAACAGAGCACAUACAUAACAUAUCAAAAUCAUAGCAGCAUAUCAUAAUAGCAUAAAUAAGAAGUUAUACCCAUCACCACAUCGGGUGCAACGCGUGCCUCCUCGGUAGUCAACUGGAAGGCCCGACUCCUCACCACUGGAGCCUCAGUCUUGGCCUGUCGGCCAUCAGUAAUCUGCAGGGUUGCUGGGGCUGGCGCCUUCACCGGUGCUGCAGCUGUCAACUGGGGGCAGUUGGCCUUCUUGUGGCCCCUCUGGUUGCAGUGGAAACACAACAACUCAGAUGUCUAAAUAAUCGGUGCAGGGGCAAUACAAUCCCUGCUGAAGUGCCCCGUCUUGCCGCACUUGUAGCAGCCCGACGAUCCCAAUCUGCAUGCCCCCUCAUGUGGCCUGCCGCAUUUCCUGCAGCGGCCUGGUCCUGACUGGCCUUUCAGCCUACCAUCUGAUCCUUUGGGCUUCUUCCCCGAAGCCCCAUUCGUCUACCCCUCCUCUACAUUCCUCUUCCGGACAUGCUCCAGAUCGAUCUCCCUCUCCCUUGCCCUGCCAAUCAUGGAAUCCAGGGUAGGGCAAGCUGAAAAACUAACAUGAUCCUGAAUGUCGGCUCGCAGCAUGUCAUGAUAGCGGGUCCUCCUCAUAUCCUCAUCUCCCGCAUAUUGGGGCACCAGCAAUGCCCUCUCCCGGAACUUGGCGGUGAUCUCCGCCACAGUCUCCGUAGUCUGUCUCAUGUCUAAAAACUCUCUGGCCAGCUACUGAAGCUCUACAGCUGGCGCAAACUCCGCCCUGAAUCUGGUCACAAAGUCUGACCAAGUCAUAGCCUCCACAGUCAAGGCUCCCAAUGAGUCACCAACAGACUCCCACCAUUCUCUAGCUCUGUCUCUCAAACACCCUGCUGUAUAUCUCACAUUUGACCCCUCGGGGCAGAAGCUGGUUAGCUGUGCGGACUCAAUGUCUGCAAUCCAUCGUCUGGAAGCAAUGGGGUCCUUCACCCCAUGGAAAUCUGGUGCACCACUGCCCCUGAAGUCCUUAAAGGACAGUGUGCGGGAUCCUGACUGGCUGGUCGUCAUGUCACUUCUGAACGCCUUAAGGCGAUCAUCCAUCAGCUCAACAAUCCAUUCCUUGAUCGACCCAAAGAUGAACGGGGUCGCAUCAAGGAUGCCUCUAGUGAUCUCAGAUGCGAUGAACUCACGUAACCUCUCAUCCACUGGUUCGGAGCCUGAACCCGAACCCGAUCCAUCUCCGGAAUUGCCAACUGUUGGCCUGGAACGUAGUACCACCAUUCUGCAAUACACCAUGACAACCGUUAGUGAUACUAGUACAUCUAGAGGGAUCACACCCAUCACAAGUUCCUUGAUCUUGCCUCAUCCCUCCUUAAUUCGAGUACGGAUCCUCUGCUUUCAGUCGUACGGGCCCAUACUACCUUCCACAUCUAUCCGUACUUUCCUCAAGGACUGACUCCACCAAGUCCCCUUUUUCCCGUGCUGAUCUCUGCUAUUCUCAUCCUAGGCUUACCCUAGGGAAUUCUAUGAGUCCAUCCCAACCGGUCCUCAGCUGCUGAAGGCCUCCUAGUAAUGCCAAUUAGCCAUUACCUGAAUACCAUCACAUGUAAUGAGGCUCGGAUAAUCCUUUGAGUAAAAGACUCGUCCCCACAACGGUUAGACUCAAACGAGAGCUGUGUAAUAGGGCCAAAUCCAGCACUUUGGGAUUAUUCAAUCCUAAUCACAUGUGACGUGACAUACUCACCUAAUUGCUAACUCCCAUCACUCAAAGCCCUACAAGCACGAAGCAAGCAGCAUUCGAACACAGGAAACUACUCAAGCAACUCUAUUCUUCUAACGAGAAACUGUACUAGCAUACAAUGUUGUGCUCAUACUACUAGGCAUAACCUAACAGGCUAUCCUAUUACUGUCUACUCAAUACUAGCAUGCAAUUUUCAUAAGUUGAAGCACAUAAAGCAGGCACAUAAGGUAUCAUUCCUGGAUGCUUAGUCCUAUUCUAGAAUGUUGUUCUACUGCAACUGAUAAACAUCAGAUAACUUGCAUGGGUACUAUGGGGAAUACUUACUUGAGCUCGGCCGGUUGCGCACAUCACCCACUUUGAUCUUUCUUAAAACUCUUUUACUCAAAGUCGUUUUCUUUGUAAAAAUCAUUUAAUCCCUCGAUUUGAGUCCAGACACCCCCAAGGGUGUGUCCGAAUCCCUCAAACCAGGGCUCUGCCAACUUGUAACAGCCCAAAUUUUAAGUCCAAAAAUUUCUUUUUAAAUUAACAAAUUCAUAAAAACGUUCAUGAGGAAAUACUGUGAAAUUACAUCGUCUCAUAAAACAUUGUAUCAUAUCUGAAAACCCAAGUCACAAAAUAAUAACAUGUCAGAGUACAAUCCCAGAGUAUCUAUAGUAUGGAAAACAAAGAGUGUGUGUAUGAUAUGCCACUACCGCGCAAGCUCCUUCCCCUUCGUUGAAGAGAUACUUGAAACCAAAACUGUAAACUAUAAGCACGAAGCUUAGUGAGUUCCCCCAUCGUACCACAUACCAUACAAUCUCAUAGCAUACAUACUGCCAGGCAAUUCUGGGGUGUCCGACCUACCCGGUACGACCAUUCUGGGGCGCCGACCUACCCGUACGGCCAUUCUGGGGUGCCGUCCUACCCGUGUCAAGCCAUUAUGGGGUGUUGACCUGCCCGUCGGUCCUAACAACCGACCCUUGGGGACUAUUCCACCCCCUAUUGCUACUAUCACAUAUAUCAUAACAUAAACAUAUUAUCAGACAUAUAUGGGGUGUCCGAACUACCCUUCGAUCCUAACAACCGAACUUGGAGACUAUUCCCGUCCUACUACCACUAUCACUACAUAUAAUAUAUCAUGCCAACAUAUAAACAUAUCAUCCCAUACUGUCAUACAUAUCUGGGGUGUCCGAACUACCCUUCGGUCCUAUCAACCGAACUCUAGUACUAUCACAUAUAACAUAACAUGUCAGCAUAUAACAUAUCAGGUAGUAGCAAACCUAGAUGAAUAUCACAAAGACAAUCAUUUAACAUAUGACUCCUACUGGUGGGCCGACAUUGUGGCCGUAGACCCACCUCUACUGGAAGGUAACUCACCUCGAACAAGUAGCUGCUGAUAAUCCGUGUGGGAAGUCUCUGUCUGCUGCUGCUUCGGAAAUCCUCCGGCUACAAUCCCCACAAACACUUAGUCAGAAACUAACAUCUACUCUUAGGGUAAAAUGACUAUUCUACCCCCAAUCAAGUCCAAGUCAAAUUCAAGUUCAAGUUGACCCGACUCGCCGAGUUGGGCCAUCAACUCGCCGAGUCCCUCACCCUUUACUCGCCAUCAUCCAUGACCCCACUCNNNNNNNNNNNNCCAGCUACUGAAGCUCUACAGCUGGCGCAAACUCCGCCCUGAAUCUGGUCACAAAGUCUGACCAAGUCAUAGCCUCCACAGUCAAGGCUCCCAAUGAGUCACCAACAGACUCCCACCAUUCUCUAGCUCUGUCUCUCAAACACCCUGCUGUAUAUCUCACAUUUGACCCCUCGGGGCAGAAGCUGGUUAGCUGUGCGGACUCAAUGUCUGCAAUCCAUCGUCUGGAAGCAAUGGGGUCCUUCACCCCAUGGAAAUCUGGUGCACCACUGCCCCUGAAGUCCUUAAAGGACAGUGUGCGGGAUCCUGACUGGCUGGUCGUCAUGUCACUUCUGAACGCCUUAAGGCGAUCAUCCAUCAGCUCAACAAUCCCUUCCUUAAUCGACCCAAAGAUGAACGGGGUCGCAUCAAGGAUGCCUCUAGUGAUCUCAGAUGCGAUGAACUCACGUAACCUCUCAUCCACUGGUUCGGAGCCUGAACCCGAACCCGAUCCAUCUCCGGAAUUGCCAACUGUUGGCCUGGAACGUAGUACCACCAUUCUGCAAUACACCAUGACAACCGUUAGUGAUACUAGUACAUCUAGAGGGAUCACACCCAUCACAAGUUCCUUGAUCUUGCCUCAUCCCUCCUUAAUUCGAGUACGGAUCCUCUGCUUUCAGUCGUACGGGCCCAUACUACCUUCCACAUCUAUCCGUACUUUCCUCAAGGACUGACUCCACCAAGUCCCCUUUUUCCCGUGCUGAUCUCUGCUAUUCUCAUCCUAGGCUUACCCUAGGGAAUUCUAUGAGUCCAUCCCAACCGGUCCUCAGCUGCUGAAGGCCUCCUAGUAAUGCCAAUUAGCCAUUACCUGAAUACCAUCACAUGUAAUGAGGCUCGGAUAAUCCUUUGAGUAAAAGACUCGUCCCCACAACGGUUAGACUCAAACGAGAGCUGUGUAAUAGGGCCAAAUCCAGCACUUUGGGAUUAUUCAAUCCUAAUCACAUGUGACGUGACAUACUCACCUAAUUGCUAACUCCCAUCACUCAAAGCCCUACAAGCACGAAGCAAGCAGCAUUCGAACACAGGAAACUACUCAAGCAACUCUAUUCUUCUAACGAGAAACUGUACUAGCAUACAAUGUUGUGCUCAUACUACUAGGCAUAACCUAACAGGCUAUCCUAUUACUGUCUACUCAAUACUAGCAUGCAAUUUUCAUAAGUUGAAGCACAUAAAGCAGGCACAUAAGGUAUCAUUCCUGGAUGCUUAGUCCUAUUCUAGAAUGUUGUUCUACUGCAACUGAUAAACAUCAGAUAACUUGCAUGGGUACUAUGGGGAAUACUUACUUGAGCUCGGCCGGUUGCGCACAUCACCCACUUUGAUCUUUCUUAAAACUCUUUUACUCAAAGUCGUUUUCUUUGUAAAAAUCAUUUAAUCCCUCGAUUUGAGUCCAGACACCCCCAAGGGUGUGUCCGAAUCCCUCAAACCAGGGCUCUGCCAACUUGUAACAGCCCAAAUUUUAAGUCCAAAAAUUUCUUUUUAAAUUAACAAAUUCAUAAAAACGUUCAUGAGGAAAUACUGUGAAAUUACAUCGUCUCAUAAAACAUUGUAUCAUAUCUGAAAACCCAAGUCACAAAAUAAUAACAUGUCAGAGUACAAUCCCAGAGUAUCUAUAGUAUGGAAAACAAAGAGUGUGUGUAUGAUAUGCCACUACCGCGCAAGCUCCUUCCCCUUCGUUGAAGAGAUACUUGAAACCAAAACUGUAAACUAUAAGCACGAAGCUUAGUGAGUUCCCCCAUCGUACCACAUACCAUACAAUCUCAUAGCAUACAUACUGCCAGGCAAUUCUGGGGUGUCCGACCUACCCGGUACGACCAUUCUGGGGCGCCGACCUACCCGUACGGCCAUUCUGGGGUGCCGUCCUACCCGUGUCAAGCCAUUAUGGGNGGGGUGUUGACCUGCCCGUCGGUCCUAACAACCGACCCUUGGGGACUAUUCCACCCCCUAUUGCUACUAUCACAUAUAUCAUAACAUAAACAUAUUAUCAGACAUAUAUGGGGUGUCCGAACUACCCUUCGAUCCUAACAACCGAACUUGGAGACUAUUCCCGUCCUACUACCACUAUCACUACAUAUAAUAUAUCAUGCCAACAUAUAAACAUAUCAUCCCAUACUGUCAUACAUAUCUGGGGUGUCCGAACUACCCUUCGGUCCUAUCAACCGAACUCUAGUACUAUCACAUAUAACAUAACAUGUCAGCAUAUAACAUAUCAGGUAGUAGCAAACCUAGAUGAAUAUCACAAAGACAAUCAUUUAACAUAUGACUCCUACUGGUGGGCCGACAUUGUGGCCGUAGACCCACCUCUACUGGAAGGUAACUCACCUCGAACAAGUAGCUGCUGAUAAUCCGGGUGGGAAGUCUCUGUCUGCUGCUGCUUUGGAAAUCCUCCGGCUACAAUCCCCACAAACACUUAGUCAGAAACUAACAUCUACUCUUAGGGUAAAAUGACUAUUCUACCCCCAAUCAAGUCCAAGUCAAAUUCAAGUUCAAGUUGACCCGACUCGCCGAGUUGGGCCAUCAACUCGCCGAGUCCCUCACCCUUUACUCGCCAUCAUCCAUGACCCCACUCGUCGAGUUGGGCCGUCAACUCGACGAGUUCUUCUCUCAUAUGAGCAUCACAUGAAACUCAUCCGACUCGCCGAGUUGAUGAACAACUCCUCGAGUUCACCUUCAUCUGAUGAACAAGUUCUGUCCUCGAACAACUCGCUGAGUUCAUCUUCAUCCUUAAGAAGAUUGCCUUGGACUCGCUCCAGUCUUGACCAAUUCCAUACAAUCGAUUUAAAUGAGAUCUAACACACCAAAACCAUAGAUCUGGCCUCCUAAUGUCCACUUUAUACGUAAAGUUCCAAACUUGAUGCACAUGCAUGGGGUUUUUAGCUAAAAAAUCCACAUAAAGUGUCCUAUAAUGUGCAUGGGGCUCGCAUGGUCAUAAAAUUGGCACCUUUAUGCCAUGAGACCCCUCUUAAGGUCCAGAUCUGAAGUCAAAACCCACUCAACACUUCCAUUUCCAAAACAUGACUUAGCAAUCCAAAGAGAUCCCAAGUUAAAGAUGAAUAAACACAUAGAUGAGUCAAGACAGGGGCAUUAUACCUUGAAGCUGCUGUAAAUGAAGUAAAAUCUAUGGAUCUACUUGCCCCAACUCGAGUUCCAAGCUCCUUCCUUCCUUCCAAGCUUUACAACCACACAAUAACACCAAAAAUGGCCUCAACAAAGCACAAAUGGCUAGGGUUUCAAUGAGAAGUGUUUUGGUAGCAUAAGGGACAAUAUGGCCUUCAUAUCAUUGCUUAAAUAGGGUGCAAACCCUCAGAUUAGAGUUUUUAGCCGAAUAGUACCUACUCGCCGAGUUCAACACUUAAGUCCCGCUUCUACUCGGCGAGUUGGUCCUUCAACUCGCCGAGUCCAAGGCCAAGAUGCGAAAAAUAUUUAGAAAGAAAUAUGUACCAAGAACCAGGUGCUACAUCUAUGAGGGGGAUAGAAUACAGCAAAUGAACACCCAAGUUCACUACACCUACAGGUUAUAAGCCUGCCAGCGUUCCACUGAACUGUCUAGAAAAGUCCGUGGUCGUCAUCCGUAUUCUGCUGGACGACUAGAUCCCAAUCACAUCGAGGUCUCUCGUCAUUUUUAUUUCAUCACACAUCACUAUCUACCCAUGUUCUACCAACAUAUUUGUAGAUAAAAUAUAGUUGUUUAUAUACAACUUAAAACAUGUAUAACAUAUUCAUUCAAUACUCAUACCACAUAACAAAUAGUAUAUAGUCACAUAGCACGUAUUUCAUAGAGUAUAAUUCAUAUAUGUGUAUUAUCAGAAAGCAACUACACACUUACUCAUAUCAUAUAUCUAAUACAUUCAUCAAUACUUGUAUUAAAAUCAUGUAUAUGAAAGGGACUAUCCACUCACUUGCUAAGAUGUUUAUCGGACAGCACUACGACUCUAAAUGUAGUAUUCUUCGGUGAAACUGUGAUCUUCACACACCAGGCUUCUCGCGGGCAAAGCUUCGGCUCGGAAACUCUUUCCUUCUCUGGAUAUUCGGGGCUUCGGGACUCGCUUCGGGUCUCGGGAUGAUACUAGGGCUUCGGGGUACUUCAAGACGGCUAGAGAGAAUACCGGGAGUGAGAGAGUGGGGAAUUAGCAACCAUGGCCGACUGCCCCUCAACUUCUAUUUAUAGGGCUGAAAAUCUAUGCUCACGUCGUGAGCCACUAAUGCUCACAUCGUGAGCUCGAAUAUGUCACUGCAUUUGUCAUGGCCACUUGCCCUGGAAGACGUCCAUCACCUGCUCACAUCGUGAACACUAUGCUCACGUCGUGAGAUCUAACACAGGUGGAAGUUCGUGCCCCGAACUUCAGAAAUUCACAUCUUUCGCAUACAAGCUCCGUUUUCGACGUUCUUUAUAUCCACGCAUAGGUGAGAUUAUGCUCUACCACUCUCGUUUAGACUCCGUCGGCUAAUUUUGAGUUUAACUUUUUAUUAUAUUAUUUUUAGUAGGCCGGGACAUGAAAACUCUGUUAGAAAUUCAUAACGUCUUCAUCUGACGUCCGUUUUCGUCUGUCUUUUCACCGUUGGACUACUAUAGACGAGAUCUUCGAUUCCCGUUUAGAUUGUUUCAGCCAAAUAUCAUUCGAUCUCAAUUUCGAGAUUUGAACUGCAUACCGCUAAGGCGAAACUUCGAAAAAUCAUAACUUCCUCAUACAAAGUCAGAUUUAGACGUCCUUCUUACGCACACUCUCGGUUUAAUGUAUUCUAUGACUUUCAUUUAGACCACUAAGGCUAAAUAUCGCUCUAUCACAAAUUCACUAUUUAUGUCGUGCAGUGUCAUGCCGGUUCUGUCGCGAAAUUUCAACAUGUCAUAACUUCUUCGUUAUAACUCGGAUUUCGACAUUCUUUAUAUACCUGGAACCCUUGACACGACCACUACAACUUCCUUCAUAGAUAUUGAGCUUAUCUAAUAUUUUAUUAUUACGCUUAUUUUUAUUCUUAAUUUAUUUAAGUCACACAGUUAAGCAUAAAACACAUAAUACUCAAAUAAUACAUUCUUAUUAUCUCAAAAUGAGUUACAAAGGUUAACCUAGACUAUUACAUCAACAUUUAUGUCUAGCCCAGAAACACGGACGUUACAAAAAAUCAAAAGUGUUUGGUCAACUCUAUAGCAACUAUAUAUUGUCCCAUUAGGAUCCUCUAUAGCGACGACUUUUGUCGUCGUCCCUAUAAGUUUGGUCCCUAUAAAUGUUUAUUCUUGUAGUGUGUGUCAUUUCCCCUUUUAAAAUAGAAAAAUAAAUCUUACAAGCAAUAGCAAUUUGAAGCUGUCAAAUACUUUGCAUGAAAGAUACGAGGGAUUAAAUUUUGUCAAUAACGUCUACACAUACAAUUACAAAUGCGAAUUUAACGUCGCUGAGGAUUAGUUAAUGGGAGAUCGGAACUAAUUUAAUUUUCUAAUAAAACUGAUGAAUGUGUGGUGUGACACAUAUUUAAAUUUAAAACUAUCGUAAAUAUUUUUUUUAAUUAAAAUUGAAACAAACCUAUUUUUAAAAGAGAUUUCCCAAACUGUCCUAUUUAUGAAAAAAAAACUCAUCUUUUUCAUAUAUGGUAUGGGCAUGGCUGGUCACACUAAAUGCCAUAUUUUAUCAACAUGUUUUUCAUUACGAGAUCAUCGAUCUAAUGAAAGUAGCACGAGUUUUUUAUAUAUAGUAUGGACAUGGCUGGUCACAAUAAUUACUACAAAACAAAAAAUUAAAUUCAUUAUUUUAUUAACAUAUUUUCAUUAUACUAAAUUAUCUCAUGAAAGCAACACACGGUUUUUACUAUAAAUAGAAGGUACCCUUCCAACUCCAAAAUCACACAACCAAGAGUGAGUAACUUGGAGAAGGAAACAUAAGAAAACAUGUUGAAUUCUCAGAUCAACCAAACUCACUCUCUCAGCAACCUACUCCCACUGCAAAAUCCCUUCGUCGCCGGUGAUGCCACCACACAUUCCUCCUCCUCAGCCUACUCACCCGCCAUUCUCCGCCACCCAACCGCCACCAAGAAAUCCAAUGCCACUCGCUCUCGAUCCACCUCAGCUGGCAAAAUAAAAGCCAUAACAAUUCCGUUUCUUACCAAGACCACCGUCAAGGGUGUCAUCACCAUCCAACCAGCCAUCAGCUCUGCCAUCGCCGGAGUAGGUAUUGGCGGUGUUGCUGAUGGUGUCUCUGAUCUUCUAGGGCGGUCCUUCUUGCUCGAGCUAGUUUCCAAUGACCUUGACUGUAAGUAACUUUGAUACGUUCUAGAUGUUGUGUGAUUUCAGAAUCAAAAUAAGAUACAUAUAAUUUGGUAAUUAUAUAUAUUUACCACCUAGGUUUUAUUAUUACAAAAUUUCCAAUAAGACAGUUACUUUUGUUCUAAAAACUUGAAAGAAACUAAAAUGGAAUUUACCAAAAUUGCUAAAUUAAUUAUUGAGGCAUAUUCAAACACUUAUCUAGUUGAUCUGAGUUUAAGAAAUUUAAUUAAUGAAUAAAAUAAUUGAACAUUAUAUUAUCUGUUUUUUUAAGUACCACUCAUCUACAUGAUCUCUAUUUCGGAUUGUUAAAGACAAAUUUAAAAUCUUUAUACUUUUGUUUCUUAUUUAAGGUACCAGUUAAUGUUAAUGUAGUCAAUAAUAGUUUUANNNNNNNNNNNNNNNNNNNNNNNNNNNNNNNNNNNNNNNNNNNNNNNNNNNNNNNNNNNNNNNNNNNNNNNUCGAAGAAGUCAAACUCGUGAGUUUAGUAGAGGCUGAAUUUAUAAAGUUUUUCAUAGUGGACGAGUCGUGAAUUGUAUUUUAUUGAUAUAUAUAAUAAUUAAUUAAACUCCGGAGGUUUUUAAAAUUGUUUUUGUGAUGUUCUUAUAAGAUAUAUAUCUUAAAAAUAUGUAAAUAUUUAAAUCGUUUUUCCAAAAUAGUUUUUAUGGAGAAACAUGAGAGACUAACAUAUAUAAACACUAAGAUGCUUAGCACCAAUAUGUUAUAUUGUACUAACACUCUCUUCAGAGUACGAGAAUAUAUAUGAUUGUGUUGAGCUACCGAGUACAAAAUACUGACUCUCAAUAUCAUAUAAGAUACAUGUAGAUUCAAAAAUUUUCACUAAAAGUUGUGUUGUUAAAAAAAACGGAUUUUCUCUAAAAUGAAAUUCCUUGCGAAGAUAAAAGAGAAUUCAAACUUAUAUAAACAUUUAUAUGGUCUUUUAAUUUUGCAAGGAUAUGGAUACUUAUAACAAUGUUUGUUCCGUAAUAUUUCAAGACAUAGUAUUUUUCAUUUAACAUUUUAUAGAAAUAAAGAUAAUAACUUACAACAAAUACUAAUUUGUAGUAGACAAAUACAUGAAAAACAUAAUUUCAGCCCGAUAUAUUCAGUUAUAUUUUUAAAUUCGUAUAUGUUCUUAUUGUUAUCUUUUUACCAAAUGACAAUUAAAAGAAAUUUUAAAAGGAUAAAAAUUCUACAAAAUUUAUUUAUAAGUAUUAUCCUAGAAAGAUGCUUGACGAUAAGAUUUGCCACAUCUAUUUCAUUCUUUUGAUGAGUAAAGUAAAAUAACUAAAAAUGUCAGUUUUUCUUUAUGGAAAAUUGUGAUUGGAAUAAUUUAUACACCCAAUCUUCUUACUUAUCUUUUCGCUACAUUUGAGAUUUACGUUCCCCAAUUUCCAACAGAUCACCCGGUCAAAAACCUGUCAACUUAUACAUAUUCUAAUCUAUGAUAAGUUUCGAUAAUUUUAAUGCGAAAAAUAUGAAACUUAAAGAUAAUUUUUAUUUAGAAUAAGGUGUAUAAAGACUGGAAUUGAUUUUGAUACAGCAAAAGGCAAGCAGAAGACAGUGAAGGCGUAUGCAAGAUACGAGGCAUUAGAUUUUGACAUUAACGUCUACACAUACAAAUGCGAUUUUGAUGUCCCUGAGGAUUUUGGUGAAAUCGGAGCUAUUCUUGUGGAAAAUGAAUACAGCAAGAAUGUUCUUCAAGAAGAUUGUUCUUAACAACAAUAUCACCUUCACCUGUGAAUCUUGGGUUGCUUCCAAGUAUGAUAACCCCGACAAGAGAAUCUUCUUCAGCGACA
rnacentral:lncRNA from 1 species